GUGAAAAUCGAGAGAGAAAUUCAACAUGAAAAAAGAGGUUUGAGUACAUCUUGAACAGCCAUCUCCAGGAUAUACUCUGAAGACAGUGAUGUGAAAGUUCAAGGUUUGCCUGUU